CUUUAAUUAAGCUCAGUUGGUAGAGCAAAGGACUGUAGUCAGAGGGACUGUAGUAUUACGAAAUCAGUAUUCCUUAGGUCACCGAUUCGACCCCGGUACGGUAGA